GAUGAACGCUGACAGAAUGCUUAACACAUGCAAGUCUUUCGCGAAGCUGUGCUUGCUCCGCCUAUCCAAUGCGGACGGGUGAGUAACGCGUCAGGAACUUGCCCUGCCUUCAGGGCUAACAGACCGACACGACUGCUAAGACCAGGCCAAGUCAUGCUGUCUCCUGUCCAGCUCGAUGAAAAGAGAUGCUGCAGGAGACCCUUGCGUCCUAGUCCCUUGUUGGUUGGGUAACGGCCCAACAAGCCGCUGAUAGGUGGCCGGCCUGAGAGGCUGGACGGCCACAAGGGGACUGAGAUACGGCCGUUACUACUACGGGAGGCAGCAGUGAGGAAUAUUGGACAAUGGGGGCAACACUGAUCCAGCAAUUCUGUGUGCACGAUGAAGGUUUUCGGAUUGUAAAGAGCUUUCAGCAGGGAAGAAAAAAAUGACGGUACCUGCAGAAGAAGCGACGGCUAAAUACGUG
rnacentral:rRNA from 1 species